rnacentral:tRNA from 1 species
UGGGCGUGUGGCGUAGUUGGUAGCGCGUUUGCCUUGCAAGCAAAAGGUCACUGGUUCGAUUCCUGUCUCGUCCAU